rnacentral:rRNA from 1 species
UACGUAGGGUGCAAGCGUUAAUCGGAAUUACUGGGCGUAAAGCGUGCGCAGGCGGUUUUGUAAGCCAGAUGUGAAAUCCCCGGGCUCAACCUGGGAAUGGCAUUUGGGACUGCAAGGCUGGAGUUUGGCAGAGGAGACUGGAAUUCCUGGUGUAGCAGUGAAAUGCGUAGAUAUCAGGAGGAAUACCGAUGGCGAAGGCAGGUCUCUGGGCUAUAACUGACGCUCAUGCACGAAAGCGUGGGGAGCAAACAGG